CCUACGGGAGGCAGCAGUGAGGAAUAUUGGUCAAUGGCCGUAAGGCUGAACCAGCCAAGUCGCGUGAAGGAAGAAGGAUCUAUGGUUUGUAAACUUCUUUUAUAGGGGAAUAAAGGUAUCCACGUGUGGAUAUUUGCAUGUACCCUAUGAAUAAGCAUCGGCUAACUCCGUGCCAGCAGCCGCGGUAAUACGGAGGAUGCGAGCGUUAUCCGGAUUUAUUGGGUUUAAAGGGUGCGUAGGUUGUUUUUUAAGUCAGCGGUGAAAGUUUGUGGCUCAACCAUAAAAUUGCAGUUGAAACUGGAAGACUUGAGUGUGUUUGAGGUAGGCGGAAUGCGAGGUGUAGCGGUGAAAUGCAUAGAUAUCACGCAGAACUCCGAUUGCGAAGGCAGCUUACUAGGCAAUAACUGACACUGAAGCACGAAAGCGUGGGGAGCAAACAGGAUUAGAUACCCUAGUAGUC
rnacentral:rRNA from 1 species